AUGACAACAAGAUAUUGGAACAUCAAUUUGAAAAAGAUGAUAGAAGCAUGCAUUUAUUUUUGUGAUGGUAUUAGAAAAUGGAAUCCUAAAAUGGCCACUUACAUUUUGGCAAAGCAUAAAGACACUGAAAUUAUAAAUCUCGCUAGAACGGCUUUUUUAUCAGAAGCUGGUGAUUUAGUUGAAGCAAGUUAGGGAAAAAGUUUCUUAACUGUUGGUACAAAAAAUAGAGCGACAAAUUUAGUAGCAUCAGGUGCAGUAAGGGCUUGUUGUCAUUAUGUUAAUAAAAAGCGACUUAGUGGUAUGUUAACAAAUUGAUCGGUUACCACUAGAUUUUCUCAAUUUAGAGACUUAAGAGCGGAAGGAAAAUUCCACCACCUCCCAAAAAGAGAUGUGACAAUCUUGAAGAGAAAAUUAUCUACCUUGCAAAGGUUUCUCGGCGGGAUCAAAUAUAUGACGAGAUUUCCAAACAUUGUGAUUGUCCUUGAUCAACCAAAAGAGUAUAUAGCUCUUCGGGAAUGUGCCAUGUUGGGAAUUCCUAGUAUUUCUUUAGUCGAUACAAAUUGUGACUCGGAUCUCGUGAAUAUAUCGAUUCUAGCCAAGGACGACUCACUCGGGUAA
rnacentral:rRNA from 1 species